rnacentral:lncRNA from 1 species
AUGAUAUCUUUUGUAAGUUGCGUCAAAAUGUCCCUGGAGUCAAAGCAGAGGUCGCCAAAGAGUUUCAUGAAAAUGUCGUGCUGUCCCAGCUGGAGAAAGGAUGGGUUUAUUCCUCCUCAUUCAGGUACACCUGCUGGAGAGAGGUCCCACCUUCCAGAGGGCGUGACCAGGAGCUGCACGAGGGGUUUCUGUGACGGUAGACUUCAGGAUGCCAUGCUGCUGUUUCUUCCCAAUUUAAGGCUGCUCUCGAAAUUCAUCUUAAUCUGGUUCUACUGUUACAAAGGUGGAAGACACUCCCUGCGGCCACUGGGCCCCUCUCUGACAGAUGGCGGGCAGACCACGGUCCUCCUUCCACAAAGCCCACGAACGGAGAUGCAGGUGGGGCUGUAGCCCACCAGACGGGCUGAGUGUGCUGGGUGGGGGCUGGCCCUGGAAUUGGAUCCAUGGGGAGAAAUUCCACAACGACAAUAGCUCUGACGUGUACUCCCUCCUCUCGUUGCAGAACUGGGUGUAGGAACAGAGGAGAGUCCGAAGGUCGCCUCCCAGCUCUGCCCACAGUCUGGUCAGUACCCUGGUUGGAAGUGACUGAGAUCCAGCGCAGACUAGCUUAACUGUAAAAGAGAAUGGAUCUCGAUGUAGCUGGGAAGGCUGGGGACGGAGCUGGCCUGGCUAUUUUGAGAAAUGAGGGCAUCGAGGGCCUCUUUCUCCCUUCCUCUUUUUUCCAUGUGGUCUCAUUCCCUCUUGAGGCCGAAGUAGAAGGUUUCCUUUCCUGCUGGUGCUGGCGGUGGGACUGAGGCUGCAGACAGAGGCUGGCUUACUUCACCUCCGAAAGAAAGAAAGAGCGAACACAUACUUUCUCAAUGGCCACUUAUGCAACCCCAGGGAAGGCCUCUGAUUGGCUAGACUGGGGUCACUUGCUCAUCUUUGGACCAACCAUUAUGGCCAGAAGCAACAGAACUGGCCAGUCCUUGAGGGUGUGGUUGGGGUGGGGAUGGGGUGGCUGCUUUAAACAGAAGCCCCACAGGGUAAGGAGAGGCAAUUCCCCAAAUUAAGAGGUGACAUUAGCAGAAGAAGAGGGAAAGAAACACUAAGCGGAUAUAAAUAUCCAUUACUGUCAUUGGCUGGCUUUGUGACUUCAGCAAAUUAAUUCCUUUACCGCAUGUGGGCUUGUUAAGAGAAUUAAAUAAGACAUAUGAGGGCAAGCCCUUAGCACAUAGUAGAUAAUCAAUGCAUAGUUAUUAUUACUGCUGACCAGUUUCCUUCCCAAGAAUUUACAAACCCUACAAGUAUAUAAACAUAAUUAAACCCAACUUUAUUCCCAUGACUGAAAAUCCCAGGGAUUCUAAUUUAAGCACUUUAUGAGAUGGUGUUGGUGACAGGACUAACACCU